UACGAAGGUCCCAAGCGUUAUCCGGAUUUAUUGGGCUUAAAGGGUGCGUAGGCGGAUUAUUAAGUCAGUGGUGAAAGCCUGCAGCUUAACUGCAGAACUGCCAUUGAUACUGAUGAUCUUGAGUAUGAUUGAGGUGGGCGGAAUGUGUCAUGUAGCGGUGAAAUGCUUAGAUAUGACACAGAACACCGAUUGCGAAGGCAGCUCACUAAGCCAUAACUGACGCUGAUGCACGAAAGCGUGGGGAGCAAACAGG
rnacentral:rRNA from 1 species